rnacentral:lncRNA from 1 species
AAAUUACAAGUAUUAUAUUGAUCAUGGAAGACUUGGUGACCAAGGAACAUUAAACAGACAUACCUUUAUUAUUAGAAAAACAAAAGUAUUCAAGAUAAUAUAACUGCAAGUUUGUGUUAAUUUUGGCAUAGAACCAAUGCGAAAAGUUAACAACAUAAGGGAAUUUAAAACACAAGUGAAAAGUGGAUUCAUCACGGCCUUUACACAUACUACGAAUUUAAGCCACUGACCAAUCCCUUAAUGUUCAAGGACCAAAUUUAUUUAUCCUAUAAUCAAGCUUAGGAGAAGAAGGAGAUUUGAAGGUAUAAGCUUAUCUAAGAGUUAAGUCACCUGAACAUAAAUUUCUCCAAAAAUUUUGGUCCUUGAGAUAGACAAUUGUAAAGUUUGGACCAAGGAUAUUCACAUUUAAUCAAAAGCCUGAAUUCAGGUUUCAUGCUACACUAGAGAUAUAAAAAAAUGUGACGGUUCAUGGUGCCAGCCUUUCUUAAGACUUUAGCUUUCAGAAGCUUGGACCUUAUUUUGGCACACAAGAGAUCUUACACCUCAACUAUCAUGAAAAUGAGUCUUGCACACUUUAUUUCCAGCCUUAAUCACUAACUUUCUUUUGUUCAUAUUUCCACUCCAAAUGAUAUUUAUAAAUGCAAUUUCAAUCGACUAUAUCUUCUCGUUUUGAGCUUGACUUGCAACUUCCAAUCGGUCCAUCUGGCUCUGCAUCGCUUCAUUUACGCGAGCUAUAUCUUAUGAAAGGCAUCAUCAUAAUCCACCCCAAAAGCAUGCUUCCGUUCACCUAUUUAACAUAUCACAAAUCAGCGAGACUCCACGUCCCAUUUCUUGAAUUUGAGAAAGUUUGUUAUUCAUGCUUGCUUCACCCUCUUUUUCAUCACGUGGCUUUUCUUUCGUUACAAUAAGUUUGUGUCAUUGAUUGCUUUGACUUGUGCAUAUAAAGUUGUUGGAAU